UACGGAGGGUGCGAGCGUUGCUCGGAAUUAUUGGGCGUAAAGCGUACGCAGGCGGCUUGUCAAGUCGAGUGUGAAAUCCCGGGGCUCAACCCCGGACAUGCAUUCGAUACUGGCGAGCUUGAAUCCGGGAGAGGGAUGCGGAAUUCCAGGUGUAGCGGUGAAAUGCGUAGAUAUCUGGAGGAACACCGGUGGCGAAGGCGGCAUCCUGGACCGGUAUUGACGCUGAGGCGCGAAAGCCAGGGGAGCAAACGGG
rnacentral:rRNA from 1 species